rnacentral:rRNA from 1 species
GACGAACGCUGGCGGCGUGCUUAACACAUGCAAGUCGAACGGAAAGGCCCUGCUUGCAGGGUACUCGAGUGGCGAACGGGUGAGUAACACGUGGGUGAUCUGCCCUGCACUUCGGGAUAAGCUUGGGAAACUGGGUCUAAUACCGGAGAGGAACCAUCCUUCUUGUAGUGGUUGGAAAGUUUUUUCGGUGUAGGAUGAGCUCGCGGCCUAUCAGCUUGUUGGUGGGGUAAUGGCCUACCAAGGCUGCGACGGGUAGCCGGCCGGAGGGGGUGACCGGCCAAAUUGGGACUGAGAUACGGCCCAGACUCCUACGGGAGGCAGAAGUGGGGAAUAUUGCACAAUGGGCGGAAGCCUGAUGCAGCAACGCCGCGUGGGGGAUGAAGGCCUUCGGGUUGUAAACCCCUUUCGCCAGGGACGAAGCUUUUGUGGAGGUAAUGGGUAAAGGAGGACCGGGUAAAUAAGGG